rnacentral:rRNA from 1 species
UUUUAUUUGAGAGUUUGAUCCUGGCUCAGGAUGAACGCUGGCGGCGUGCCUAACACAUGCAAGUUGAGCGAUUUACUUCGGUAAAGAGCGGCGGACGGGUGAGUAACGCGUGGGUAACCUACCCUGUACACACGGAUAACAUACCGAAAGGUAUGCUAAUACGGGAUAAUAUAUUUGAGAGGCAUCUCUUGAAUAUCAAAGGUGAGCCAGUACAGGAUGGACCCGCGUCUGAUUAGCUAGUUGGUAAGGUAACGGCUUACCAAGGCGACGAUCAGUAGCCGACCUGAGAGGGUGAUCGGCCACAUUGGAACUGAGACACGGUCCAAACUCCUACGGGAGGCAGCAGUGGGGAAUAUUGCACAAUGGGCGAAAGCCUGAUGCAGCAACGCCGCGUGAGUGAUGAAGGCCUUCGGGUCGUAAAACUCUGUCCUCAAGGAAGAUAAUGACGGUACUUGAGG